rnacentral:rRNA from 1 species
CCUACGGGCGGCAGCAGUGAGGAAUAUUGGUCAAUGGGCGGAAGCCUGAACCAGCCAAUUAGCGUGAGGGAUGAAGGUACAGAGUAUCGUAAACCUCUUUUGUCAGGGAACAAAGGCGGGGACGUGUCCCCGGAUGAGUGUACCUGAAGAAAAAGCAUCGGCUAACUCCGUGCCAGCAGCCGCGGUAAUACGGAGGAUGCGAGCGUUAUCCGGAUUUAUUGGGUUUAAAGGGUGCGCAGGCGGUCUGUUAAGUCAGCGGUCAAAGCCCGGGGCUCAACCCCGGCCCGCCGUUGAAACUGGCAGUCUCGAGUUGGAGAGAAGUAUGCGGAAUGCGCGGUGUAGCGGUGAAAUGCAUAGAUAUCGCGCAGAACUCCGAUUGCGAAGGCAGCAUGCCGGCUCCACACUGACGCUGAGGCACGAAAGCGUGGGUAUCGAACAGGAUUAGAUACCCUUGUAGUC